GCCGCUUCUCCCGCGCCUUAUCCUCCCAGUUCCUCUCUCCUAGCUAAUCUCCAACCCUACACCAUCCUCUCCUCCUUGACCGCCUUUCUCCUCCAUUGGAAAAGGAGCACGGGCUCGUCUCUGCGUAGCCGCUACAAGGACGUCGGGUGGAGGGAUCAGUGGUCGGUGGUAAGAGUAGGAGCACACGGGGGCGGACGGCCUCCCUGCGCGACGGUGGAUACUUCACCGACGGCCAGCCAAUACGUCGGACAGAAGAAGAAGAUGGCGUGGGCGAUGAUAUGGUGCGGUGGAAGAAUACGGCGUGGGCGAUUCCGGUGAGAUAUGCCUCCAGCGACGCAAUAAUGUGAAGAUCCUCUCCACAAGCCAUACUCUUGCGUUGCAGCGAGAGGUCGUUAGAUUCGUCGUGCUAGACGUAGCCGUCGCCCACUUGCUCCACCUAAAGUUCCUCCUCCCCACCACGGGUAGAUGCCGGUGAGGCCAGCCUUCCCUGCACGUGCAGGUGAGCCUUCCCAUGAUGAUGAAUUUGCAUAAGAAUGCAGAUUUUCCUUGGGAAUCCUACUAGAUGGGUAGAGAUCUUGAUAGAUUUACUUAAUAUUCAGGAGCCCAAGAGUAAUGUACUGUCUUCUCUAAUUUGGAAAUGAAGUAUGGUGUGCGGAGUGGAUGUACUAACAUAGUAUGUGCUUUUGUGCUGAAUUACAUGGAAGGUCAAGAUGACCUCACCUACUGAAAUGUUUUUUUGGUUAUGUUUAUUAAUCUAUGGAUGCCUACUGGCCCUAAAUAUGUUUGGUCAAAAUGUUUUCCUAUGAAGUUUCUAUGCUAUAUAAGAAAGUUAGUCUGAAA